GAGUGCAGUAGAGGUAGGCGGAAUUCCUAGUGUAGCGGUGAAAUGCGUAGAUAUUAGGAGGAACACCAGUGGCGAAGGCGGCCUACUGGGCUGUAACUGACGCUGAGGCUCGAAAGCGUGGGUAGCAAACAGGAUUAGAUACCCUGGUAGUCCACGCCGUAAACGAUGAUUACUAGGUGUGGGGGGACUGACCCCUUCCGUGCCGGAGUUAACACAAUAAGUAAUCCACCUGGGGAGUACGACCGCAAGGUUGAAACUCAAAGGAAUUGACGGGGGCCCGCACAAGCAGUGGAGUAUGUGGUUUAAUUCGAAGCAACGCGAAGAACCUUACCAGGUCUUGACAUCGAGCGACGAACUUAGAGAUAAGUUCUUCCUUCGGGACGCGAAGACAGGUGGUGCAUGGUUGUCGUCAGCUCGUGUCGUGAGAUGUUGGGUUAAGUCCCGCAACGAGCGCAACCCUUAUCAUUAGUUGCUACGCAAGAGCACUCUAAUGAGACUGCCGUUGAUAAAACGGAGGAAGGUGGGGAUGACGUCAAAUCAUCAUGCCCCUUAUGACCUGGGCUACACACGUACUACAAUGGUGAUCAAACAGAGGGAAGCAACACAGCGAUGUGAAGCAAAUCCCGAAAAAUCAUCUCAGUUCAGAUUGCAGGCUGCAACUCGCCUGCAUGAAGUCGGAAUCGCUAGUAAUCGCGGAUCAGCAUGCCGCGGUGAAUACGUUCCCGGGCCUUGUACACACCGCCCGUCACACCAUGAGAGUCGGGAACACCCGAANNNNNNNGCCUAACCGCAAGGAGGGCGCGGCCGAAGGUGGGUUCGAUAAUUGGGGUGAGGUCGUAACAAGGUAACCA
rnacentral:rRNA from 1 species